UUUGUGAAUGCAACACAAUUUAUGUGGUUUCUAUAACUAAAAUUUGUUAUUCCUAGGCUCUGGAGUUCAAGACAAAUCCUUAUAAUAAAUUGACGAGGUUUCCUGAUGGGUGUCCACCUGGACUUGAUAAUGAUCAUUUAUAUGCUAUCAACAGGCUUCGUGAGUUUUGGCACAGGAAUCAAAGUACUGUUUUAAUUGAUGGUCAGGUACAGUAUGUUAUUCUCACCAUUUAGAAUUUUCCAAUAUUGUAAAUUUUUCGAGGCAUGCUUGGUGUAGAAGAGCCAUAUUUGCCUAUUCUAUAUACUCACAUGGCCUAUAGAACAUUAUUUUUUUUUGCUUCAUAUGUAUUCCACAUACUUGUGUCU
rnacentral:lncRNA from 1 species